UACGUAGGGUCCAAGCGUUAUCCGGAAUCACUGGGCGUAAAGCGUGCGUAGGCGGCGCGUUAAGUGAGAUGCGAAAUCCAGCGGCUCAACCGUUUGGACUGUAUUUCAUACUGGCGUGCUAGAGGAUGGCAGAGGCAAGUGGAAUUAGCAGUGUAGCAGUGAAAUGCGUAGAUAUUGCUAGGAACACCAAUGGCGAAGGCAGCUUGCUGGGCCACACCUGACGCUGAGGUACGAAAGCGUGGGGAGCGAACAGG
rnacentral:rRNA from 1 species